UUCACUCGGAACGAUUGGCUUUUUCGAAUGCUACAAUCACGUGCACAAACAUUUCCUGAAUACCUUUCGCCACCAACAGUUCCAGGAAAUGGAUGUCUUCUGCUGAGGAUGUUUGAGCGAGAACGAGUUCGUUAUGGACGUGCAAAUUACCAAUGCCCAUGACCGCCACUUGUUACCUUAGACAGCGCAAAAGCUCUCGAACAUAAAAUCAAAGGAUUCAUAGCAAAGAAAGUUCCAGUCACGUUCUGGCACGUUGAGAUAUCGAUCGACUUCAAUCGGUUAUACAUAGAUCGCAGUGGAAUAACUAUUGCAUCGUUGUGGAUUUUGAUUUUUCACAUGAUUAAUAUUGAUAUAUACAUACAUACGUAUCAUCUUCCACGACGUACAAGGAUUAUAAUAAGGAUUAAGGCCCAGUAACGCCAUGAACAACGCAUCUACGGUCAAGAUAAUAUGGACGAAGACAACAAAAAGGAUUUCUCAUUAUCUCGCACAAGAUAUUCCUGUAUCUAAAGAAAAUUUACCCCCAUUAGGGAUGUAAUUCUCAUUUAGAAAUUGAGACA